UACGAAGGGGGCUAGCGUUGCUCGGAAUCACUGGGCGUAAAGCGCACGUAGGCGGAUUGUUAAGUCAGGGGUGAAAUCCUGGAGCUCAACUCCAGAACUGCCUUUGAUACUGGCGAUCUCGAGUCCGGGAGAGGUGAGUGGAACUGCGAGUGUAGAGGUGAAAUUCGUAGAUAUUCGCAAGAACACCAGUGGCGAAGGCGGCUCACUGGCCCGGUACUGACGCUGAGGUGCGGAAGCGUGGGGAGCAAACAGG
rnacentral:rRNA from 1 species